GGGAACUGCUGUCAGAUCCUGGAGCAAGCCUCACAGCUGUGUGUGCGUGUGUGUGCGAGUGUGUGUGAGUGCGUGCGCGCGCACAGCUCCCUGACCUCAGCGCAGUCCCUCUCCAUCUAUUUCUACAGCUCCUCUCCCUGCGAGUAUGUUCCCCAACCCACUGCACAAAGUCCUUUUGAUGCCUGGGUUCCCUGAAGUGGACACAGUGAGAGGCCUGUUCCCCGUUCCCCACCCCCGGCCCCCGCGAGGCCCUGGGCCUCAAUCUCUCAGUGCCAAACGGCACAGCGGCUGCCAAAGGGGACCUGGGCCUUGCAGGUGAGCAAAGCCUGGCCGGGUACAGCCCACACCGCGGCCAGGGAGCCUGCCUGCUCAGCUUAGGAGACAGGCCGGUGAUCCAUCACCCAGGCACACACGGCCGGCUGUGAGCCCGGGGAGAGGAGGAAGGUGGCUCUCCUGUGGACCUUCUGGUCACAAACCUGGAAAUGGGAAGAGGGCCACACCCAGGCCACAUCAUCUUCCCGCUAGUGGGGCUGCCCUGUACCAACAGCGCCCGCCCCCGAGGUCCCGCACUGACAGCAAACUCCCACCCGCUGACGGGCACAGCAGUAAAGGAAGGACACCUGGAGCCCUCAGGUUCCACAGCCAAUCUCAGAACCCUCAGCCAAGUUUGCAAAGAAAUGAGGUGUGUGAGAGAACCUCGUGGCUCUGUGAGAAUCAGCUGUAUCACCUGGGAAACACUGCGUCCUCUCCAGCCUGCUUCUGCCUUAAGAGAAAGGGGUGGAGCCUCUUCCGAGAAUCCCUCUUUCGUCCACGGCGUGGCUUUGGAUGCAUCUGUGACCCGAGGGAAGCCCUUCUCCAAAGGCAGCUGGUUCGAUGCCAGUGACGCGGCAGCUUCCUGUGGCUCCCCACUUCCCCCUCUAUACUCACUCACUCC